rnacentral:rRNA from 1 species
UGAGGAAUCUUGCGCAAUGGGGGAAACCCUGACGCAGCAACGCCGCGUGAGUGAGGAAGGUCUUCGGAUCGUAAAGCUCUGUCGGGUGGAAAGAAAGGCAAGGAAGUUAAUACCUUCCCUGCUUGACGGUACCACCAGAGGAAGCACCGGCUAACUCCGUGCCAGCAGCCGCGGUAAUACGGGGGGUGCAAGCGUUGUUCGGAAUUAUUGGGCGUAAAGAGCGUGUAGGUGGCUUGAUAAGUCAGAUGUGAAAGCCCUGGGCUUAACCCAGGAAGUGCAUUUGAAACUGUCUCGCUUGAGUAAGGGAGGGGGAAGUGGAAUUCCUGGUGUAGAGGUGAAAUUCGUAGAUAUCAGGAGGAACACCGGUGGCGAAGGCGACUUCCUGGCCCUAUACUGACGCUGAGACGCGAGAGCGUGGGUAGCAAACAGG